rnacentral:rRNA from 1 species
CAGCAGGCACGCAAUUACCCACUCCCGGCACGGGGAGGUAGUGACAAGAAAUAACGAUACGGGACUCAUCCGAGGCCCCGUAAUCGGAAUGAGUACACUUUAAAUCAUUUAACAAAAAUCUAUUGGAGGGUAAGUCUGGUGCCAGCAACCGCGGUAACUCCAGCUCCAAUAGCGUAUAUUAAAGUUGUUGCGGUUAAAAAGCUCGUAGUUGGUUCUGUGUGCCAUGCUGUCGGUUCACCGCCUGCCGGUGUUACUGACAUGUCAUGGGACGUCCUGUCGGUGGUAAUUAAAUGCUUAUUGUUUUUUUAGAGGCCUGUGCUUCUAAAUUAAACAUAAGUACUUUUAAUUGCCGAUUAAAUCCCGCCGCGGUGCUCUUUACUGAGUGUCGAGGUGGGCCGACACGUUUACUUUGAACAAAUUAAAGUGCUCAAAGCAGGCAAAAGUCUGCCUGAAUAGUAGUGCAUGGAAUAAUAGAAUAGGACCUUGGUUCUAUUUUGUUGGUUUUCUGAGUCCAAGGUAAUGAUCAAUAUGGACAGGCGGGGGCAUUCGUAUUGCGACGUUAGAGGUGAAAUUCUUGGAUCGUCGCAAGACGAACUAAAGCGAAAGCAUUUGCCAAGUAUGUCUUAAUUGAUCAAGAACGAAAGUUAGAGGUUCGAAGGCGAUCAGAUACCGCCCUAGUUCUAACCAUAAACGAUGCCAGCUGGCGAUCCGCCGAUGUUUUAUUCAUGACUCGACGGGCAGCUUCCGGGAAACCAAAGCUUUUGGGUUCCGGGGGAAGUAUGGUUGCAAAGCUGAAACUUAAAGGAAUUGACGGAAGGGCACCACAAGAAGUGGAGCCUGCGGCUUAAUUUGACUCAACACGUGAAACCUCACCAGGCCCAGACAUUGAAAGGAUUGACAGAUUGAUAGCUCUUUCUUGAUCCAGUGGGUAGUGGUGCAUGACCGUUCG